UACGUAGGGUGCAAGCGUUAAUCGGAAUUACUGGGCGUAAAGCGUGCGCAGGCGGUCCGUUAAGACAGAUGUGAAAAUCCCCGGGCUUAACCUGGGAACUGCAUUUGUGACUGGCGGACUCGAGUAUGGCAGAGGGGGGGUAGAAUUCCACGUGUAGCAGUGAAAUGCGUAGAGAUGUGGAGGAAUACCGAUGGCGAAGGCAGCCCCCUGGGCCAAUACUGACGCUCAUG
rnacentral:rRNA from 1 species